rnacentral:lncRNA from 1 species
AUGCGGAUUCUUAAUGUUUCUUCACAAGGAGAGAAUGGGAGAAUCUAGAGAAUUCUGUCAAGUUCACUACAGUCCACAGUUUGUAAUGCAAAUAAAAUAAGCAAAUUCAGACUUAAAAUGCCAUGCACUGCAAAAUUGCUCCCAACCUUUUCUUGCAGGAAAUAAAUGAAACUAGG